CCGGAUUUUCAUCAUUUGGUCUAUUUGCACAGUUCUCUCUGCACAUGCAUCUGACUCGGACACAUGAUUUCCCUGUUGCCAAAGGAAGUUUUGAGGUUCGCGUGGUGUGAAUUGAAGACGUUUUCCUGAAGUGUUUCCAAUGAUUUGCACAGUUCCCUCUGCACAUGCAUGUGACUCGGACACAUAUGCUUUCCCUGUUGCCAAAGGAAGUUUCCAGGUUUGCGUGGUGUGAAUUGAAGUCAUUUUCCUGAAGUGUUUCGAGUGAUUUGCACAGUAAGUAUUUUUAUAUUAUGCAU